GACAGAGGGGGCAAGCGUUGCUCGGAAUUAUUGGGCGUAAAGCGCACGUAGGCGGCCUUGCAAGUCGGAUGUGAAAUCCCUCGGCUUAACCAAGGAAGUGCAUCCGAAACUGCAGUGCUUGAGUACUUAAGAGGAUCGCGGAAUUCCCGGUGUAGAGGUGAAAUUCGUAGAUAUCGGGAGGAACACCAGUGGCGAAGGCGGCGAUCUGGGAAGAUACUGACGCUGAGGUGCGAAAGCGUGGGUAGCAAACAGG
rnacentral:rRNA from 1 species